CUGGUUCAUGAUAUCAUAUAGUACUGAUAUAUGUAAUUGACAGAUUUUAAAACGAAAACAUACAUCAUUAGAAAAUGGCUCGAAUCAAAUUACUUUAUCAAAUUUCUUUUAUCAAGAACUACAUGACUUGAAGAAAUGAAAUUCCAAUGUGUA